rnacentral:rRNA from 1 species
AUGCCGAGAGGUGAAAGGUUAACUGCCUGGAGAUGAGCUCGCGUCUGAUUAGCUAGUUCGGUGGUGUAAGGGACUACCAAGGCGACGAUCAGUAGCUGGUCUGAGAGGAUGAUCAGCCACACUGGAACUGAGACACGGUCCAGACUCCUACGGGAGGCAGCAGUGGGGAAUUUUCCGCAAUGGGCGAAAGCCUGACGGAGCAAUACCGCGUGAGGGAGGAAGGCUCUUGGGUUGUAAACCUCUUUUCUCAGGGAAUAAGCAAGUGAAGGUACCUGAGGAAUCAGCAUCGGCUAACUCCGUGCCAGCAGCCGCGGUAAUACGGAGGAUGCAAGCGUUAUCCGGAAUGAUUGGGCGUAAAGCGUCCGUAGGUGGCUGUGUGUGUCUAUUGUUAAAGAGUUUGGCUCAACCAAAUAAAGGGCGGUAGAAACUACACAGCUAGAGUGCGUUCGGGGCAGAGGGAAUUCCUGGUGUAGCGGUGAAAUGCGUAGAGAUCACGAAGAACACCGGUGGCGAAAGCGCUCUGCUAGCCGCAACUGACACUGAGGGACGAAAGCUAGGGAGCGAAUGGGAUUAGAUACCCCACUA